rnacentral:rRNA from 1 species
GACGAACGCUGGCGGCGUGCUUAACACAUGCAAGUCGAACGGAAAGGCCCUGCUUUUGUGGGGUGCUCGAGUGGCGAACGGGUGAGUAACACGUGAGUAACCUGCCCUUGACUUUGGGACAACUUCAGGAAACUGGGGCUAAUACCGGAUAGGAGCUCCUGCUGCAUGGUGGGGGUUGGAAAGUUUCGGCGGUUGGGGAUGGACUCGCGGCUUAUCAGCUUGUUGGUGGGGUAGUGGCUUACCAAGGCUUUGACGGGUAGCCGGCCUGAGAGGGUGACCGGCCACAUUGGGACUGAGAUACGGCCCAGACUCCUACGGGAGGCAGCAGUGGGGAAUAUUGCACAAUGGGCGGAAGCCUGAUGCAGCAACGCCGCGUGCGGGAUGACGGCCUUCGGGUUGUAAACCGCUUUCGCCUGUGACGAAGCGUAAGUGACGGUAAUGGGUAAAGAAGCACCGGCUAACUACGUG